rnacentral:pre_miRNA from 1 species
AAAGUACUCCCUCCGUCCCAAAAUUCUUGUCUUAGAUUUGUCUAGAUACGGAUGUAUCAAGUCACAUUUUAGUAUUAGAUACAUCCGUAUCUAGACAAAUCUAAGAUAAGAAAUUUGGGACA